CCUACGGGAGGCAGCAGUGAGGAAUAUUGGACAAUGGGCGGGAGCCUGAUCCAGCCAUGCCGCGUGCAGGAAGACGGUCCUAUGGAUUGUAAACUGCUUUUGUACGGGAAGAACAAGGGGCACGUGUGCCCCUCUGACGGUACCGUAAGAAUAAGGAUCGGCUAACUCCGUGCCAGCAGCCGCGGUAAUACGGAGGAUCCGAGCGUUAUCCGGAAUCAUUGGGUUUAAAGGGUCCGUAGGCGGGCCAUUAAGUCAGGGGUGAAAGUCUGCGGCUCAACCGUAGAAUUGCCCUUGAUACUGGUGGUCUUGAGUUAUGGUGAAGUAACUAGAAUAUGUAGUGUAGCGGUGAAAUGCAUAGAUAUUACAUAGAAUACCGAUUGCGAAGGCAGGUUACUAACCAUAUACUGACGCUGAUGGACGAAAGCGUGGGGAGCGAACAG
rnacentral:rRNA from 1 species